AGAGUUUGAUCCUGGCUCAGGACGAACGCUGGCGGCGUGCUUAACACAUGCAAGUCGAGCGAGGACAUUUAGCAAUAGAUGUUCUAGCGGCGGACGGGUGAGUAACGCGUGAGCAAUCUGUCCCAGACAGGGGGAUAACAGAUGGAAACAUCUGCUAAUACCGCAUAAGACCACGGUUUCACAUGGGAUCGGGGUAAAAGGCGAAAGCCGGUUUGGGGUGAGCUCGCGUCCGAUUAGCUAGUUGGCGGGGUAACGGCCCACCAAGGCGACGAUCGGUAGCCGACCUGAGAGGGUGAUCGGCCACACUGGAACUGAGAGACGGUCCAGACUCCUACGGGAGGCAGCAGUGGGGAAUAUUGGGCAAUGGGGGAAACCCUGACCCAGCAACGCCGCGUGAGGGAAGAAGGUUUUCGGAUUGUAAACCUCUGUCCUUGGUGAAGAAAGAGAUGACGGUAGCCAAGGAGGAAGCCCCGGCUAACUACGUGCCAGCAGCCGCGGUAAUACGUAGGGGGCGAGCGUUGUCCGGAAUGACUGGGCGUAAAGGGCGUGUAGGCGGCCGAUUAAGUCCGGAGUGAAAGUCCUGCUUUCAAGGUGGGAAUUGCUUUGGAAACUGGUUGGCUUGAGUGCGGAAGAGGUAAGUGGAAUUCCCAGUGUAGCGGUGAAAUGCGUAGAGAUUGGGAGGAACACCAGUGGCGAAGGCGACUUACUGGGCCGUAACUGACGCUGAGGCGCGAAAGCGUGGGGAGCGAACAGGAUUAGAUACCCUGGUAGUCCACGCGGUAAACGAUGAAUGCUAGGUGUAGGGGGUAUCGACCCCUCCUGUGCCGGAGUAAACACAAUAAGCAUUCCGCCUGGGGAGUACGGCCGCAAGGUUGAAACUCAAAGGAAUUGACGGGGGCCCGCACAAGCAGCGGAGCAUGUGGUUUAAUUCGAAGCAACGCGAAGAACCUUA
rnacentral:rRNA from 1 species